rnacentral:rRNA from 1 species
UACGAAGGGGGCUAGCGUUGUUCGGAAUUACUGGGCGUAAAGCGCACGCAGGCGGAUUGAUUAGUCGGGGGUGAAAUCCCGGGGCUCAACCUCGGAAUUGCCUUCGAUACUGUCAGUCUUGAGUCCGGGAGAGGUGAGUGGAAUUCCUAGUGUAGAGGUGAAAUUCGUAGAUAUUAGGAAGAACACCAGUGGCGAAGGCGGCUUCCUGGACUAAUACUGACGCUGAGGUGCGAAAGCGUGGGGAGCAAACAGG